rnacentral:rRNA from 1 species
CCUACGGGAGGCAGCAGUGAGGAAUAUUGGUCAAUGGCCGGAAGGCUGAACCAGCCAUGCCGCGUGAAGGUCAAUGCCCUAUCGGCGUUAAACUUCUUUUGUUUGGGAGCCAUAAUGUUCACGUCUGGCCCGACUAGAUUACCCUACGAAUCAACCUCGGCUAACUCCGUUCCAGCAGCCGCGGUCAUACGGGGGAUGCACGCGUUAUCCGGAUUUAUUGGGUGUAAAGGGCGUGUAGGCGGGAAAGCAAGUCCGACGGGAAAACUCAGGGGUCCACCCUGGGCCUGCAGUUGAAACUGUUGUUCUGGAGUGCGGGAGAGGCAAUCGGAAUGCCGGGUGUAGCGGUGAAAUGCGUAGAUAUACGGAGGAACACCAGUGGCGAAGGCGGAUUGCUGGACAGUAACUGACGCUGAGGCGCGAAAGCGUGGGGAGCAAACAGGAUUAGAUACCCUAGUAGUC